rnacentral:rRNA from 1 species
AACGGAACUACUCCGAUGAGAAUCUUCGGAAAGGAUUUGGUUUAGUUUAGUGGCGGACGGGUGAGUAACGCGUGGGUAACCUGCCCUAUACAGGGGGAUAACAGUUGGAAACGACUGUUAAUACCGCAUAAGCGCACAGGAGCGCAUGCUCCGGUGUGAAAAACUCCGGUGGUAUAGGAUGGACCCGCGUCUGAUUAGCUGGUUGGCGGGAUAACGGCCCACCAAGGCGACGAUCAGUAGCCGGCCUGAGAGGGUGAACGGCCACAUUGGGACUGAGACACGGCCCAAACUCCUACGGGAGGCAGCAGUGGGGAAUACUGCACAAUGGGGGGAACCCUGAUGCAGCGACGCCGCGUGAGCGAAGAAGUAUUUCGGUAUGUAAAGCUCUAUCAGCAGGGAAGAAAAUGACGGUACCUGACUAAGAAGCCCCGGCUAACUACGUGCCAGCAGCCGCGGUAAUACGUAGGGGGCAAGCGUUAUCCGGAUUUACUGGGUGUAAAGGGAGCGCAGGCGGCGCGGUAAGUCUGAUGUGAAAGCCCGGGGCUCAACCCCGGGACUGCAUUGGAAACUGUCGUGCUGGAGUGUCGGAGGGGCAAGUGGAAUUCCUAGUGUAGCGGUGAAAUGCGUAGAUCUUAGGAAAAACACCAGUGGCGAAGGCGGCUUGCUGGACGACAACUGACGCUGAGGCUCGAAAGC